UACGUAGGGGGCAAGCGUUGUCCGGAUUUAUUGGGCGUAAAGAGCGUGUAGGCGGUUUGGUAGGUCCGUUGUGAAAACUCGAGGCUCAACCUCGAGACGCCGAUGGAAACCAUCAGACUAGAGUCCGGAAGAGGAGAGUGGAAUUCCUGGUGUAGCGGUGAAAUGCGCAGAUAUCAGGAAGAACACCCGUGGCUAGGGCGGCUCUCUAGUACGGUACUGACGCUGAGACGCGAAAGCGUGGGGAGCGAACAGG
rnacentral:rRNA from 1 species